rnacentral:rRNA from 1 species
GAUGAACGCUAGCUACAGGCUUAACACAUGCAAGUCGAGGGGCAGCGUGUACAGGUGCUUGCACCAGUACGACGGCGACCGGCGCACGGGUGAGUAACGCGUAUCCAACCUUCCCCGUAGUAGGGCACAGCCCGGCGAAAGUCGGAUUAAUUCCCUAUGUUCUCCAAUGCAGGCAUCUAAGUUGGAGCAAAGAUUCAUCGCUAUGGGAUGGGGAUGCGUCUGAUUAGGUUGCAGGCGGGGUAACGGCCCACCUGGCCAACGAUCAGUAGGGGUUCUGAGAGGAAGGUCCCCCACAUUGGAACUGAGACACGGUCCAAACUCC